AGUAGAGUGGCAUAGUGGUUUAGAUGUUGGACCACAAUUCUGAAGACCAGGGUUCAAUUCCCAGCUUGGCCA